UUGAUUUAGGAUUACAGGAUCAAGGGGCAAGACAGGGCUUGUUCAGUGACACUCUGCAGGACCCUGGGGAAGGAAGCCAAGUCAGUAUCAACAGUUCUAGAUGAUUCUGGGGAGUGAUGAGCGCCUCUCAGUAAACCCCUGCUCAGCGGUCAGCAGGUAAGACCGGAAUGCUUUGCAUCCUGCAGUCUAACAUUCUGUCUUGUGCUGGUGGCAUUUCUGUCUGACAUUGACACCAGCUAUUGCUACAGUGCUCAUCAAUACCUGUUGGGUGGCCGGAAGGAAGAAGGCGAUACAGUCUAGGGACAUGUGACUACCAUCUGCGAACAGAACGGAGACUGAGUGUUUUGCUGAGUUGUUCAGUCUUAGCCACCCUUCCAAGCCCCAGCUUCCUCUCUUAGAGAGCAUAACGAGUAUGUAACCGCCUUGGGGUCACUGGCUGGUGCCCAUCACGUAACAGGGCAUUAAGGAUGUUAGCUAUUUUCCUCAGGUGCUGGGGGCUAUGUUCUCUUCCUUAAAACAUGCUUCUGCUAGAGCUGACUGAAGCCAUCUUUCUUACUUCUGACCACAGACCUUUCCAAUGCCAAGAUGCUUUCGUGCUUCUGGUAAAGGGCCAAUGUGUCAGGCCAAGGAAAAUGCCUAACUGGAGUUUCAGAAUACCGGUGGUACAGCAAGUAGUAGAGAUUUGCAGAAAUGGACUAGAAUGACUUAAAAGAGUGAUUCUCAGCCUGUGAGUUGUGACCCCUUUGGUGUGUGUGUGUGUGUGUGUGUGUGUGUGUGUGUGUGUGUGUGUGUGUGUGUGAUAUCAGAUACCCUGCAUAUCAGAUAUUUGCAUUAUGAUUCAUAACAGUAGCAAAAUUACAGUUAUGAAGUAGCAACAGAAUAAUCUUAUAGUUGGGGGGUCACUACAACAUGAAGCCCACCCUUAGGAAGGGUGAGAACCACUAACUUAAAAGGGCAAAAGUAUAAAAGAAAAUCCUGAAGAAAAGGAUACUCGACAUUUUCAGCUCAUUGGGGGACUUUCCAAGUUAUCUUCUAUGUCACAGUUCAAAAGCACCAACUCAACUGAAUCGUCUUCUCUUAUGAAAAGAAGGUAAAAAUGUGGACUACAUGAUCAGGCAGUAGAAAUAGUGACCACUAGUGGACUAAUAGAAGUGGGGGGUGGGCAGACAAAGGGAGACAGAGACCGAGAAAAGAAGGUAAUGGACUCAUAAUCAUAUCUCAGAACGUGGUUUGCUGCAGUCAAUACUCUUUUAACAGACAUGCUCAGGUGAUGGGCAGCGAUCAGCAGCCCAAGAGCUAACUGUUCCUCUCUUCUCCACAGAUCUCAGGCUUGAGCGUUGGUUUUUGGGUUACUCUACUGUGACAGAGAAGGUGAUAUGUGUGUGUGCUGUUCUUCACGUGGGGUGCAUAGCUCCGGUAUCGGAAAAACAGGUUAAAAACAACCCUUAGACAGAAGAGACCGUCUGAGCAGAACUGAUGAGGGGAAGAGAUUUCAGCUGGCUGAGGAGGAAGGUCAGGAGGUGGCUGUGGAGAUAAGACCAUGGAUUUAAUUUCCUAUCGAUUUCAACUUCAGGAGGAAGAGGUUGCCUUCGCAGCAGGAUGUGCCGUCCUGCAGAAGUCUGCGUUUUUGUUUUCACAGGGACUCCCCUCCCCUCCCUCCUGCAGCCUGUCUUUUUGCAUGGAUGCUCUGUUGGGGGAACUUGAAGGGUCUCAUUGAUUGCCAAGGCUAUGGAUGGAGCACAGACUGCAUGUGGUGAAAAGCCCCGUUGUGUGGUGACCAGAAAACCCCUUGCAGGAGCAGAGGAGGCUUCCCUCAGUCACAGGAUUGUCUUUCUAGCAUCCUAGGUUAGUAAAUGCUGACCUCAGCAUAGCACUGUCCUCCCCAACCCCCUUUCUUUUCUCAGAUAGGAUCUAUCUAUGUAGCCCUAGCUGGCCCUGAACUCGUGAUUCUGCAACAGUCCCCUAAGACUUGGGAUGUCAAGUGUGUACCACAAUAUCCCCAAAUUUAUUUGUUUGCUUAUUUGUUUACUGAAGUACCAGGAAUUGAAGCCCAGACCUUGUAUGUGGCAGCAAGCCCUUCCCAUUCCACAACACCCUCAGCCCAGAUGAUCUUUACUAACAAAUAAGAAAUCUGGGUUUGCCUCCUGAAUGAGAAAUGUAAAAAUAACCAGUUAAAUUGAAAGUAAGUAGGGUCAACUCUUCAAUGGUACUGUUUCUGGUGUAUUCAGGCGUCACUUAUGGUUGGUACUGCCUCCCACGGCAUCUUCCUGACUUCUUUGCCUGACUACCCCAAACCAGUGUGACUGACGUGUAAAUUGUGCCAGGCAAGGGAUAGGUGUGUGAGCUGAGUUGGGAGCCAUAGCAGCCCUCCAGUGACAGAAUAGGAAAGCUCGAGAAAAAACACCGUAGGCUUUAACUGGUUACAAGUCAGGAGAAGCAGCUUUUGUAAAAGCUGAUUAUGGCAGGGUGAUUGUCUUACUAGAAAAGUCAGUCUCACAGAGGUCGAGCCUAGAACUGCCGCUGUUGCUGUCUCCCCUGCCUCUCCUUCAUCUCCUUCCUUGGGCCUCAGUUUUCUUCUCAGUGCUUCGACACUGGUUGCACCUUUCCCACUUUCUUCUGGUGUGUUUAUAUCUUGAGUGGUGAACAGUAAGUACCCUUGGCUUGCUGGUUCUUGUUUUAAGUCAAUAAAUGUGUGGCUGUGUGUGUGUGUGUGUGUGUGUGUGUGUGUGUGUGACUAUGUCUGUGUAUGUGUGUGUUUGUGUGUGUGUCUCUCUGUGUGUGUCUGUGUGUGUAUGUGGCUCAGUGUAUGUGUGUGUGUGUGUGUGUGUGUGUGUGUGUGUGUACAUGUGUGUGCAAAGUGGUGAGUUUUGUCUAGUCUAUAGUAGGCAUGACAACUCAGGAUAGAAGUCGUCCAAGGAGUCAUUAUUAACAGGCAGGGUGGGGAGAGUAGGGCAUAUAAAAAUGAUUCAGGCUACUUGGUGCUUUUAAAUAGUUUACCAUUAGUGGAGUGAUCAUGGUCAGGAGGUUCUAAAAAGGGGAAGAAGAACUUUGUGUAACCAGCAAACCUGAGAGUGGAGCGCUGGCUGUGCUAUGAGACCGAGGAUGGAGGAACUUUUAUUUUGAUGAGAAGGUUUGGCUAGCUCAGCUUUUAUUUUCCCCUUCAAGAAUGCAUUCUGUUUCAAGCAGGAAUAGGAUGGUUAGUUAACCAGGCACAGAGAGCCAGAGUGGAGUGUAAUGGUUGCUGAAGAAGACGCUUGGGAGGACGGGCUCCAGCGUUUGCAGGACGACUUGGUAUUCACUGCUUUUUCUGUCCUUCAUUGUCAUCCCAGAAUUGCUGUCCUCAUGGUCUACAGUAUCUGUUGUACCACUCCUCACAUGAGCACUCUGAACUUCCAGAGGCAAAGACAAAAAGCCCUCUCUUCAUCUAAAAUAUUAGAUUUUUGUUUUUAAGAAACAAAAUUCUUUCCUGAAGUACCCUAAAUUAGUCAGGUUUCCCUAGAGUCACAGAACUUUUGGAAUGAAUAAAUCUUUCUCUCUCUCCAUACACACACACACACACACACACACACACACACACACACACACACACAAUUUAUCUAUCAGAAUCUAGUCAUUGCUCAGUCCCACAAGGCUGGGUCUCAGUUGGUCUUCAGUAUACACUGGAAUCCUGAAUCCUCUAAGCAAUGAAGCAAUGUCUUACUAGCAAGGCAUGGACGAACAGACAGAAGAAAAGCUUCCUUCUUAUAUGUCCUUAUAUAGACUUCCAGAAGGAGGUAUGACCCAUAUCAAAGGUGUGUCUCCUCCACCGCUCCCCCACUCCCCCCAACAUUUGGAUUAAGGAAGGGCGUGUAUCUUCACACUUCAAGAUCCAAAUUAAAGGCCUACGUCUUCCAGCCUUAAUAUCCGGAUCAAAGGCUUAUGUAUUCCUGCCUCAAGAUCUGGAUCAAAGGCAAAUGUCUCCCUACCUCAAACAUCCGGAGUAGCAGUGGAUUCACCCACUUCAAACCAAGCAGAAAAUCUCCCACAGGUGUGCCCUCCAUUUCUGGAUGGUAGUUGAUUCCAGAUAUAGUCAAGUUGACAAUUAAGAAUAGCCAUCGCCCACACCCUCCCCUGGCUUUUCCUAACAGCUUUGCUUUUGUCCAUCAGGCAGCCGUGACAAGAUUCCCGUGACUGGGUAAUUGAUAAGCAAGAGGAACUUACUGCUUGGAAGGAGGCUUCAAAGUAAAGGUAUUAGCAGGCAGUGUCUGACAAGGCCCCUUUCUUGGCUCACAGGUUGCCUGGUUGCUUUGCCCUCACAUCAUGGAAAGGAGAAAGCGUGUUUCCUCCACUCCAUGGGUCUCUUUUAAAAAGGCAUUAAUCACCUCCCAGGGACCUAGCUCCAAACAUCCUGGUGGGUAGCUUGCAACAUGAAUUUGGGGUGACAAAAAUAUCAGUGCAGUAAGCAAGAGGAAUGUCUCCCUGUUCAUCGCAGGUGCAUUAUUACCGAUUACAAGGGAGAUUCUUUGGGAAUGGGGAAGGGACUUGGGGUAGCAGUUGGAUUGACAAUCCAAUGGUAUCAAUGACACUCUCAUACCACUUUCUAGAAAGGAUAUUUGUCUCAUUUUAGUGAUUGCGCUUCAUCCUCCCUCCAUCAAAGAUCUUCCCACUGGUGACUCUGGCUUCCAUUGGCCUUACGUGAGUUCCCUGCCAGAAUUUUUUCUUUGAGUUUGGUUUUCUUGCCUCUACCCUGUGCGCUCCAUACAGGCCUUCACAUAAGACUUCAGAUCAGACAGACCUGGGUUCAAAUCCCACCUCGGAUAUGUCUCUCGAUAGCUUUGUGGCUUUGGCCAAGUUGUUUAAUGUUCUUGCUGUCUGAGCCUGAAUGUCUGGCUCUGAAAAGUAGUAGGAAAGUUCUUUUUCCUCAUUGGUAUUUGUGAGGAGCCUUUAUAUGGCAGACAUAUAAUAAGGAAAUUAUUCAUAGGUUCCUACAAAACUAACAACUCUGUGACACCCACAUUAGCACUGGCUCCUUAACAGCUCACGAAGUGAAAGAGAAAAAAAAUUACAUAUCUGAAAUGCCAGAGAUAGAGUGAGAGGCAAAAUUGGGACCGAAUCCAGGCUACCCAAAGCCUGGCCAUGUAACCACUGUGCCAGUCUCCCUCCCCAUGUUGUUUCUUACAGUUGACUUUAUCCAGUGAUGACAAACGUUCCCAACAGACAGCAGGCCUCAGAGUGCAGCUGAGCUAAAAGCAAGUUAAAUGGUGUUGGAUGGCAAUGAGUUGGAAGGAGUAAUGGCCAAGUCUUGCCUAAGACGGUGGGAGAGGUCUCAGGACGGAGUGGAGGCGUCUUGUUCCCAGUACUUUAUGCAGGCUGAGAUGGUCUCUUCCCAGCCACUGUGAUCCCAGCAUCUCAGACUUGCCUGGCUGCCCCCCCACCUGAAGCUAAGGGAAGAAACCAGGCCCAAGAAUCAGAAGUUCCAUGCUUCUAAGAUGUCCUCGAGUAGCAGGUUAUGUUCUGGGUAAGGAAAGACCAGUGUUUGAACCUACAAGUGUGAACCAGAUGGAAAAGUUCUAAGUGGAGGACAUGGCCAGCACCUUUGGUUUGGAGAAGCCUGUGCAGGUUGUAGCACAUGACUCCAUCUGAUGAACGGGAGGAAGUGUCAAAAGUUCGGGGGACCCACUAGAGCCUUCAGGCCCCCAAAAUCAAGGAGAAGCAACUAAAUAAAUAAAUGAAUAGAGAGGGAAAUAGGGCAGGACAAAGUGAGUUAUAUAAUUAAAAGUAGAUAUUAAAGAGAAAAAAAGAAAAGAAAAGAAAAGAAAACCAGCUCCCUGCUUUGCUGGCUACCCCACCUUUAUGUGACUUCUCUUGAUGUUUGGAUGGUAACACUUCAUCUGAGGUCACAGAUCCAAAUACCAGUGCCAGUAAUAACACUCCAUGAGAAGAAGCAGAUGAUUUACAGACCAUUCUAGAAAGGUCUUUGGAGGACAUAUUUCUGAUUUUAGUAUCUUAUUUUUUAUUGAAUUAUGCAAGAGCUGUUAGGGUAGGGUGUAGGGUGGUCAGUCUGGGGCAUGUAGGGGUUUCCAUUGCUGUCUCUGAACUGCUCAGUGCUUCCAAACUUCUCCUUGCCCUUUGUUUUUUCCUGUUGUUGUUGCCUUUGGGUUUUGCAAAUAGCAUAAAGUCGGAUGUUGUAAACAAGACGUUCUCCAUACCAAGUUAAGUUUGAGCACCCACAAAAAUGGGUCAGAGAGUGUAGUUUGAUAACCGAGUAUCACAGACCUACCUUCUAUGAAGUCUUCUCACUGUGUACACUGAGUGGCUUGUGAGUGUCUCACAGGCCAAGAUUACAGUUGGUUGCCCUCUUAGACUCCACUGAGCAUUGCUAGAGCCUGGAUAAUGAAUGGUGAGCCUGCCAUUUUAAAAGAACAUUUGUUUAUAUGAUUUCACUGGGACAUUGGAUGGAAGAAAGAUGAAGAGGUUUUUGUUUGUUUGUUUGUUUGCUUAUUGUUAAUUCAGAUGUACAGAUGUGGGCCCAAGCUUCUAAAUGGCUUGUGGGGGAAGGUUUAUGAUGCCUUUCUUUGGAAUCCAAAUUGUGGCACUCUAGGACCUGUGCACUGUAUUCUGGAGCUUUCAUUAUGUCUUGAGAAGAUAAAGGGACUCUUGGGUUCAUGGUGUGUCAGGAGAGUGCUAUACAGCAGGUGGGAGGAUGGUGACAGGAAUUGUUUGGGUCACUAGAUGGCUGCUUCCACAGGGUCUGGGUCUGUUAGAUGCAGCAUCGUUUUGGACGUAUCUUGGCUUAGCAAGCAGUUACAGAAUGUUCACAUUCUAGAUUCCUAAGUAUAGAACUGGAACCCUGGAGGCUACUUCAGAGCAUUUACCCAAGUUGUGAUCACAAAUGAGGAGACUCAGUGGGAUUGACGAGCUGAGGCCAGGCUGAGCCUGCAAGAGCAGCAGAGCCCAGCACUCUAGUCUCUCUUACAUACUGCCUCACAUUUCUUUCUGUUGGUUGUUGUCUGUGUGGAAAGUUAGCCUUAGGAGCAGGGACUACGAAGUCAGUGAGCCCAAGUCUCAUUUCACCUUUGGAAAAGAGUUGUGCACCCAGGGCACAGACAAGACAGAAACUGAGGGUAGAAACAGAAGUGGUAUGGCAGCUAAGAUCAUCUUGUUCCCUCAAGAAAGGAGAAUUGUUCUAACGCUGCCUCUGAGAGACUUCUCAUCCCAUCUUGUGGCCAGAAUGGGGUCAAGCUGUCAUCACUCAGCCUCAAGAGAGGAACCAUUAAGCUGUAACCUCUGUAGUUGGAGGUAGGAGUGAGAAGGGGGUGGGACCUGGCUCUCUGGGUCAAUUAAUAGAGUCUGUUUUGGAUGGAUUCUGAAUCCUAGGGAGCUGUAGAAGUGGUGCAGGCCAAGGCUAGCCUCAUGCUUUGGGUCACACUAUCCAGACAAAUCAAGUGGCAGUAGUGGAGAUGGCCUGUCUUCUUAGCCUGGUAGGACUUUCUCUGCCAUCUCCCCAGACCCACCACUGGGGAGCACAUGGGUGGAACUUUGGGGAGAGGGAAAUGAAUGAGGUCAUACUAUUGCAAUCACUUGGAAAAAAAUACAAAAACUUUCUAAAAUGCAAGAUGCUUUCUACUGUCACCAGACAUUCUUUGGAGGUUUUCCUCCAGGUACGGCUGCCGAAUGUGGAAGACCUGUAAUCACACUUCUUGGGAGGCUGGGCAGGAGGAAGACAAGUUCAAGGCCUGCCUGGGCUAUAGCAUAAGUUUAGGGCCAGCCUGGGCAAUUUAGUGAGACAAUCUCUCAAAAUAAAAAGUAAAAAAGAGAGCUGGGAUAUGAUAGCUUUAGUGACCGAGUUUUGUGGCACGCAGGAGGCUCUCGAUUCAACAUGCAGUACUGCAAAGCAAAGAGCCAGGUAAAAUUCCCCGAGUCUCCAUGUCUUAGUCCUGCCUGGGCUGUCUCCAGGGUGCUGUCACAGAAGGGUUUGUGUUCACAGUGUCACGGCAUGGAACACAGCUGUGCAGGGACAGCUGUCCCUCCCUGACUCGACAUCUCAGGGACAUGCCUUCUCUUUCCACCAACCUCUCAAAGAUUCAGAUAUAUGUGUUUUACUGAGCAUGGAGCCCAGGGCAGAGGCACUGACACCAGACCCAGGAGAAUCCAAGGAGAAAGAACAGGGAUGCUCCACUGUCCCUGCACCCCCAGCAUUGUGCCUUUCAAUUGGCUUUUUCCCUUCUGGGAAGGCUGGGUUCGUGUUACAAAGACUCUGCCUGGCCCAUUGUUUGUGUAGGGCCGCUUUCCCAGAGCAGGGUGGGCGUUUGAUGGAUUUGUUCAAUAAGAGCAAGGAAGGACAAACUGGAACCAGGAAGCCACCACUCAACUAUUUGUGGACUUUGGAGAAGGUCUGAAGAAUUCACAACUGAACAGUUUGGCGAAGCAAGCUUUACAAAGGCAUUUGAAUCUUUCACUUUCCCGUGUGAAAAUUUCUGUACGUCAUCUUGUCGGAGAGUGUAGACUUCAGUGUCGAAGUCUGGUGGUUGCCAGCUAUGCCCAGAGGGGUUUCACUGACUAAAUAUAAUGUUCACUUUAAUAUUCUUCCUAGACCUCUGCUGUGUUCUAAGAUCCUGCCCACCCACAUGGGUUCUUUGAGAACUGGAUGUGUCGUAUUCUUGAAGUCAUUAGGGAACCUCCAGAACACUAGAGGAAUAAAUAAGGUGGCUAAUUUUUCUGUCUUUUCCUCUGAGGAGCUUCUUGUGGUCUGACAGAGCAUAUCGGAUUUCUUACAUAAAAUGUAGAGUUGUCAACAUUCAGAUGCUUCAAUGGCCAAGACUGUGGUAUUCAGUUUCUAUCAGCAUGUACAGGAUAUCCUGCCUGGUUUUGACCUCAGGAGAAGAAUGACGGAGAAUGCCUAGGGGGAACUUGUGAACUUUACCUGUCAGAUCUUUCCUCCUGGUGUGAUGUGACGUGCUCUCUCUCACCUCUCAGGAAGCAACGGAUGCGUUAACAGCCCUUGUUGGAAGGACAUUUUUAGACGAUCUACAUGACAGGAUGACAUACACUGAUGUUGGGGUGUUUAAAAAGAACAGAGUUUCACUGUGUAGAUGUGUGGAUGAAGAAAUUGAACUUCGAGGAGACAUUUGCUUCCAAUGAAAACCAAGAGUGGAGAGAACCAUUAAAAUCACUUAUGGACUCCA